CAUUAAGUAGAAGCAUUUACUAGCAAUGCUCUGCUAUUCCUUGACAGCAAACAGUUGCUAUGAAGAACGGACCAUCAUCAUAUCAACGCCCAGGAAGAAUCAGACUUAGGGUGCACUGGAGCAAGCCACCGCAAAGCUGUCAGGGAGCUAACCGAGGAGAUGGAGAAGGCCAGCUUCUAGCUCUGGAUAAGGAGGAAGCAAGGAAGUUGGGGGCCAAAUAACACCUAAGGGCAUCAGCUUAUCACUCUGCCUCGGGGACAUGUACUGGGGUUAAAUGAGCAAAAACAUUGAUGACUGGUGGUCCCCAGCUGAUGACCUGAGCAGGCUCAUGGUGUUGGAAGAAGCAUCCCAGGAGGAGGUCCUGGAAGAGGACCUCUACACAUGGCACCUUAGGAGGUACAUCAGGCAGCAAUGCCCAGCAGUGUUCUUGUGUGUAUAUGUUGCACAGAGGAGAGCAGGCCUAGUGGAGUGAAGCUGGCCAAUGUGGUGUGGAAAGAGCUGCAGUCAAUGCUGCGGAGUCAAUGACCCCUGAGCCAGUGGGAAGCCCUGCAGGAGAAAACUCCACAAGUAUCCAGCAUCCACUGAGCACUGCUGGAGGCUGCUGCCGCUCCACACUCCACUCAUCCUGCUCAGCUCCCAGCUCUGCUGCUGGGACUAAAGGAAAACAUCAGUUCC